rnacentral:rRNA from 1 species
GACGAACGCUGGCGGCGUGCUUAACACAUGCAAGUCGAACGGAAAGGCCCUGCUUGCAGGGUACUCGAGUGGCGAACGGGUGAGUAACACGUGGGUGAUCUGCCCUGCACUUCGGGAUAAGCCUGGGAAACUGGGUCUAAUACCGGAUAGGAGCCAUUUUUAGUGUGAUGGUUGGAAAGUUUUUUCGGUGUAGGAUGAGCUCGCGGCCUAUCAGCUUGUUGGUGGGGUAAUGGCCUACCAAGGCGGCGACGGGUAGCCGGCCUGAGAGGGUGGACGGCCACAUUGGGACUGAGAUACGGCCCAGACUCCUACGGGAGGCAGCAGUGGGGAAUAUUGCACAAUGGGCGCAAGCCUGAUGCAGCGACGCCGCGUGGGGGAUGACGGCCUUCGGGUUGUAAACUCUUUUCGCUAGGGACGAAGCUUUUUGUGACGGUACCUAGAUAAGAAGCACCGGCUAACUACGUG